rnacentral:tRNA from 1 species
GGCCCCAUCGUCUAGCGGUCCAGGACUCCGGGUUCUCAGCCCGGCAACAGGGGUUCGAAUCCCCUUGGGGCUACCA